UCGAACGGUAACAGGAAGCAGCUUGCUGCUUUGCUGACGAGUGGCGGACGGGUGAGUAAUGUCUGGGAAACUGCCUGAUGGAGGGGGAUAACUACUGGAAACGGUAGCUAAUACCGCAUAACGUCGCAAGACCAAAGAGGGGGACCUUAGGGCCUCUUGCCAUCGGAUGUGCCCAGAUGGGAUUAGCUAGUAGGUGGGGUAACGGCUCACCUAGGCGACGAUCCCUAGCUGGUCUGAGAGGAUGACCAGCCACACUGGAACUGAGACACGGUCCAGACUCCUACGGGAGGCAGCAGUGGGGAAUAUUGCACAAUGGGCGCAAGCCUGAUGCAGCCAUGCCGCGUGUAUGAAGAAGGCCUUCGGGUUGUAAAGUACUUUCAGCGGGGAGGAAGGGAGUAAAGUUAAUACCUUUGCUCAUUGACGUUACCCGCAGAAGAAGCACCGGCUAACUCCGUGCCAGCAGCCGCGGUAAUACGGAGGGUGCAAGCGUUAAUCGGAAUUACUGGGCGUAAAGCGCACGCAGGCGGUUUGUUAAGUCAGAUGUGAAAUCCCCGGGCUCAACCUGGGAACUGCAUCUGAUACUGGCAAGCUUGAGUCUCGUAGAGGGGGGUAGAAUUCCAGGUGUAGCGGUGAAAUGCGUAGAGAUCUGGAGGAAUACCGGUGGCGAAGGCGGCCCCCUGGACGAAGACUGACGCUCAGGUGCGAAAGCGUGGGGAGCAAACAGGAUUAGAUACCCUGGUAGUCCACGCCGUAAACGAUGUCGACUUGGAGGUUGUGCCCUUGAGGCGUGGCUUCCGGAGCUAACGCGUUAAGUCGACCGCCUGGGGAGUACGGCCGCAAGGUUAAAACUCAAAUGAAUUGACGGGGGCCCGCACAAGCGGUGGAGCAUGUGGUUUAAUUCGAUGCAACGCGAAGAACCUUACCUGGUCUUGACAUCCACGGAAGUUUUCAGAGAUGAGAAUGUGCCUUCGGGAACCGUGAGACAGGUGCUGCAUGGCUGUCGUCAGCUCGUGUUGUGAAAUGUUGGGUUAAGUCCCGCAACGAGCGCAACCCUUAUCCUUUGUUGCCAGCGGUCCGGCCGGGAACUCAAAGGAGACUGCCAGUGAUAAACUGGAGGAAGGUGGGGAUGACGUCAAGUCAUCAUGGCCCUUACGACCAGGGCUACACACGUGCUACAAUGGCGCAUACAAAGAGAAGCGACCUCGCGAGAGCAAGCGGACCUCAUAAAGUGCGUCGUAGUCCGGAUUGGAGUCUGCAACUCGACUCCAUGAAGUCGGAAUCGCUAGUAAUCGUGGAUCAGAAUGCCACGGUGAAUACGUUCCCGGGCCUUGUACACACCGCCCGUCACACCAUGGGAGUGGGUUGCAAAAGAAGUAGGUAGCUUAACCUUCGGGAGGGCGCUUACCACUUUGUGAUUCAUGACUGGGGUGAAGUCGUAACAAGGUAACCGUAGGGGAACCUGCGGUUGGAUCACCUCCUUA
rnacentral:rRNA from 1 species